UGUGGAAUACUUGAUGUACAGGUGGAUGCAAUAAUCAGGAAAAUAGACAAAUAUUCAGUACAAAGGCAGCAUCAGGGGUACUGGCAAAUGACCUCAUCUCCAUUUUAGAAUCAAAAAAGGAAUUGAAGUUCUCGGCCGAGCCAAUUAAGGACAAUAUUUACAAGUGGCAUGCAAAACUCUUCAAGUUUAGCGAAGACAGUGACAUUGCUGCAGAUCUGAAUGAAAUCAAUGCUAGGUUUGGUUACAAUUAUGUUGAGCUACAAUUGGAAUUUACCAUUGACCUUUACCCUUUCUACCCGCCGUUAGUCAAGGUCAUCAGGCCAAAACUACAGG